rnacentral:rRNA from 1 species
GUCUACGGCCAUACCACCCUGAACGCGCCCGAUCUCGUCUGAUCUCGGAAGCUAAGCAGGGUCGGGCCUGCUUUGUACUUGGAUGGGAGAAAGGAGCUUGCAAUUAAUA